rnacentral:rRNA from 1 species
UACGGGGGGGGCAAGCGUUGUUCGGAAUUACUGGGCGUAAAGGGCUCGUAGGUGGCCAACUAAGUCAGACGUGAAAUCCCUCGGCUUAACCGGGGAACUGCGUCUGAUACUGGAUGGCUUGAGAUUGGGAGAGGGAUGCGGAAUUCCUGGUGUAGCGGUGGAAUGCGCAGAUAUCAGGAGGAACACCGAUGGCGAAGGCAGGUCACUGGGCCGCAACUGACGUUGAGGAGCGAAAGCAUGGGGAGCGAACAGG